UCGGAGUUUAGUUUUCAAUGUAGGUCGAAAUCUUUAAUAACAUUUAACAAUUAGUAUACAUAUUUUCAAAUAGACCCGUGCAUAUUUUUUAAUCUUACACGUAAAAUUUUUACCAAAGGAAUAAAUAAACAUAAUCGUCGAGCCAAAAAGACAUUCAGCUGAGUAAAGCUUUAUCCUGGCUUUUACGACACGGCGCAACGAGGGAAGGAUUCCUUGUAAGCCCAGAUGGUUAUAUCUCUGUGAACAAUAUACUACAGCACAAGUCAUUUCGCGGUAAAU